CCUACGGGAGGCAGCAGUGAGGAAUAUUGGUCAAUGGACGAGAGUCUGAACCAGCCAAGUAGCGUGAAGGAUGACUGCCCUAUGGGUUGUAAACUUCUUUUAUAUGGGAAUAAAAUGUUCCACGUGUGGGAUUUUGUAUGUACCAUACGAAUAAGGAUCGGCUAACUCCGUGCCAGCAGCCGCGGUAAUACGGAGGAUCCGAGCGUUAUCCGGAUUUAUUGGGUUUAAAGGGAGCGUAGGUGGAUUGUUAAGUCAGUUGUGAAAGUCUGCGGCUCAACCGUAAAAUUGCAGUUGAAACUGGCAGUCUUGAGUACAGUAGAGGUGGGCGGAAUUCGUGGUGUAGCGGUGAAAUGCUUAGAGAUCACGAAGAACUCCGAUUGCGAAGGCAGUUCACUGGACUGCAACUGACACUGAGGCUCGAAAGUGUGGGUAUCAAACAGGAUUAGAUACCCCAGUAGUC
rnacentral:rRNA from 1 species